UGCAAGUCGAACGAGCCUUCGGGCUAGUGGCGGACGGGUGAGUAACGCGUGGGAAUCUGCCCUCAGGAGGGGGAUAACGGCCGGAAACGGCCGCUAAUACCCCAUAUGCCGAGAGGUGAAAUGAAUUUCGCCUGAGGAUGAGCCCGCGUCUGAUUAGCUAGUUGGUGGGGUAAUGGCCCACCAAGGCGACGAUCAGUAGCUGGUCUGAGAGGAUGAUCAGCCACACUGGGACUGAGACACGGCCCAGACUCCUACGGGAGGCAGCAGUGGGGAAUUUUCCGCAAUGGGCGAAAGCCUGACGGAGCAACGCCGCGUGAGGGAUGAAGGCCUCUGGGCUGUAAACCUCUUUUCUCAAGGAAGAAGACAUGACGGUACUUGAGGAAUAAGCCACGGCUAAUUCCGUGCCAGCAGCCGCGGUAAUACGGGAGUGGCAAGCGUUAUCCGGAAUUAUUGGGCGUAAAGCGUCCGCAGGCGGCCUUGUAAGUCUGUCGUUAAAGCGUGGAGCUUAACUCCAUUUCAGCGAUGGAAACUACAAGGCUUGAGUGUGGUAGGGGCAGAGGGAAUUCCCGGUGUAGCGGUGAAAUGCGUAGAUAUCGGGAAGAACACCAGUGGCGAAGGCGCUCUGCUGGGCCAUAACUGACGCUCAUGGACGAAAGCCAGGGGAGCGAAAGGGAUUAGAUACCCCUGUAGUCCUGGCCGUAAACGAUGAACACUAGGUGUCGGGGGAAUCGACCCCCUCGGUGUCGUAGCUAACGCGUUAAGUGUUCCGCCUGGGAGUACGCACGCAAGUGUGAAACUCAAAGGAAUUGACGGGGGCCCGCACAAGCGGUGGAGUAUGUGGUUUAAUUCGAUGCAACGCGAAGAACCUUACCAGGGUUUGACAUCCUGCGAAUCCCUUGGAAACGAGGGAGUGCCUUCGGGAGCGCAGAGACAGGUGGUGCAUGGCUGUCGUCAGCUCGUGUCGUGAGAUGUUGGGUUAAGUCCCGCAACGAGCGCAACCCACGUCUUUAGUUGCCAGCAUUCAGUUGGGCACUCUAGAGAGACCGCCGGUGAUAAACCGGAGGAAGGUGUGGAUGACGUCAAGUCAUCAUGCCCCUUACAUCCUGGGCUACACACGUACUACAAUGCUACGGACAAAGGGUUGCAAGCUCGCGAGAGUUAGCUAAUCCCAUAAACCGUGGCUCAGUUCAGAUCGUAGGCUGCAACUCGCCUACGUGAAGGAGGAAUCGCUAGUAAUCGCAGGUCAGCAUACUGCGGUGAAUACGUUCCCGGGCCUUGUACACACCGCCCGUCACACCAUGGAAGUUGGCCAUGCCCGAAGUCGUUACUCCAACCCUUGUGGAGGAGGACGCCGAAGGUGGGGCUGAUGACUGGGGUGAAGUCGUAACAAGGUAGCCGUACCGGAAGGUGCGGCUGGAUCACCUCCU
rnacentral:rRNA from 1 species